UAGGAAUGUUUAAUUGAAAAUUAUUUUCCUAUACAUAAUAACUACAUUCAUAAUAAUGUUUAUGUUUUUUUGCUUAAUGUUAAGGUAUCUCACUGAAUACCUUUGAACUUAAGGGAGAAAUGUAUCCUAUUAUAUAUGGUGGAGAUGCACCUAAUAAGGAAGUAGACUUCAAUGGGCAUCAAUCUAAGUAUACAACUUUUACAUUAUUGGAGUUAACAAAGAUUAAAAAGACAAGUUUUUUAUAAUUUAUAGAAGCUAAAAUUAAGUAAAAUCUAGACACUGUAUUUUUCUAACAACAUAUUAUACCCCAUUUUAGUACAAUCAUAUGUGCUCCAAAAUGGGCUUUAUAAAACUUAAGAAGUCUAUAAUUUGGUAUUACAAAAUUGCAGAUUUUGCUCAAACAAUUCCUUAGAUGAUAAAUUGGUGAAGGGUUAAAUUGUUCUCUGUGAAGGCAACAUAGGUGAUCCUGAGGCCUUAAGAGUUGGUGCUAUUGGUGUCUUAACACAAGGUCACACUUCUACAUAUGUUGCCUUCUCUUUUGCCGUGCCCGGAUAUUUCCUUCAAUCGAAGGAUGCUGCGAAAAUACAUAAAUAUAUACGCUCUUCAAGGUCUCCAACCGCAACAAUAUUUAAGACCGAAGAGUUAGAAGAUACUUUGACACCUAUGAUUGCCUCUUUUUCAUCGAGGGGUCCAAACAGUGUUACUUUUGAUAUCCUAAAGCCUGAUUUAAUUGCUCAUGGGGUAGACAUCAUAGCUAGUUUGGUCUUCAAUUACAUUUCUCUCAGACGUUGACAGGGUGAUAAUAGAAAGUUAGAGUUUAAUAUUAUGUCCGGAACAUCAAUGGCAUGUCCACAUGUGUCCGGUGCAGCAGAGUGCAUCAAAUCAUAUCAUCCUACAUGGUCAUCUGCUGCUAUUCGUUCAGCUCUAAUGACCCCCGGUAAAAGAUUAGUAAUAUUUGAUUGGAAUUGUCUUUUUUAAAGUUGAUUAUUUUUAACUAAACUAUUCAUUAAUUAAAAGUCACUAGAUAUUUGUUAAUUUAUUAAUCCACUUUGACUUGUAAUGAAAUUACACCAU